CAUGAAGAUGCUGGAUUCAGGAAGGAAGCUGGUAGCUUAGAGGCUGUGACCUGAAUAGUCAGCAGAGCGACACAGAGCUCAAGUAAUCUGCAGUGAAGAAGAGUUACAAGCAGACACCAGGGUUUUGAUCUUCAACCUAAAUUCAUCUACUUCAUCUAUUGAAGAGCCUGCUUAACAGUAGAGAGAGUCAAUUGGGCAUGGCUUAUUUUCCAUGUGAACCACCGCACUCAAAAUCUGACGGCCAUUCUUGUGACCAUGCAAUAAUUUCAGGAGUAAGGAAUGGUGAAGCAUUCCCUUAAAGCCCAAGAAAGAUCUGCAUAAUAAUCUGGGAUGUGAAAAGCUUAAGGAACAGUUCUCAGGACUGAAAAAGAUGACAUAAAUCUUGCAGCUGACAGAGAUCCCACUGAGCUCAGUUGGGGAAAUUCACAGAGGACUUCUUGUGGGCCAGAAAAGCUGCUGGGUAUAAAGACAGAUGUGUAUACUCCUAAUAAAAAAAUUUAAAUAAAAACUGACUCCUACAAUGAGGUAUCCACAAUUAUCAGGGACAUUACUAAC